UUCUUUCAUUUCACUUAAAAAAAAAACUAAAGCCUCUAAAAAAUUUUCUCUCAACCAGCCUCUGCAGGAGGAAUUUCGGCGACUUCUCCGGCGCCGUCCGUCACCGUCGGCCACCGCGCACGGUGGCCGGAGCUCCAAAAAGGGUAAUUUUCUUCCCUUUUUCUUAUAUAUUAUUGAUAUACAUAUAUAUAAGACAGUUUUUUCUAAGAAAAUAUAAAGAAAAAUAUAGGUAUAUGUAUAUAAUUUCGAAUAAGAAAUAUAAGGAAAGAAAUGAAAAAAGGUGAUAACCUUCAAUAGUUGAAUCAAUCUCCUCUGUUCUUUAUUAUUUCAAAAAACUGCCCUUUUUUUUGCAUAUGUUUGAAUCUUUUUGUAUUUUUAUUCAGUAAAAAAUCUCAAUACAAGUGAUUUUGUGGCUUUUUAUAGCCAUUUUUGCAACUUGUUUUUUUUUUAUUUUUCUAUCACUUCUGUUGCAGGUGGAUGAGGUCAACGGUGGCAAAGUUGAUGGAGGCAGGUGGAGGGACGGUAUGGUGGCCGGCAGAGGCUAGGGCGGCUAACCUAGGGUUUUUUAGUUUUCUCUCCUUUUUUUUAAUUGUUGUGGGCUAAAGUUAAGUGUUUGUUUGGCCCAUGUAAUCGGGUUAGGAUAGGUUGGGUUUUUAUUUUGUUGGGUAAGUUUAGCCUGGGCCAAAAUUGGGCCUCAACAAAUACGUUUAAAAAUUAUUAAUAUCACAACUGUAUUAUUUUUUCUUUUUAUGGGAUUGUAUUUUGGUUAUAUAGAUAAUAUGUGCCGAUUUUAUUAAAUUAACCAAAUAAGC
rnacentral:lncRNA from 1 species